rnacentral:rRNA from 1 species
CACGUAGGGGACGAGCGUUGUUCGGAUUUACUGGGCGUAAAGGGCGCGUAGGCGGCCACCGCAAGUCACUUGUGAAAUCUCCGGGCUUAACCCGGAGCGGUCAAGUGAUACUGUCGUGCUAGAGUGCGGAAGGGGCUACUGGAAUUCUCGGUGUAGCGGUGAAAUGCGCAGAUAUCAGGAGGAACACCAAUUGCGAAGGCAGCUCGCUGGGACGUUACUGACGCUGGAGACGCGAAAGCGUGGGGAGCAAACAGG